rfam:Pteropus alecto contig103038, whole genome shotgun sequence.
AAACAACAUUCUGUGGCAGAUGAUAAAAACUGAAACAAUUUGAGCUUGCUAUAGCAAGAAAGUCUAACCUAUUCCAGUGUUCUCUCCUCCUUGAGAAAAGCCAUUAUAUAAACAUAAGCAGU